rnacentral:rRNA from 1 species
AGUGAACGCUGGCGGUAGGCCUAACACAUGCAAGUCGAACGGCAGCACAGUAAGAGCUUGCUCUUACGGGUGGCGAGUGGCGGACGGGUGAGGAAUACAUCGGAAUCUACUUUUUCGUGGGGGAUAACGUAGGGAAACUUACGCUAAUACCGCAUACGCCCUACGGGUGAAAGCAGGGGAUCUUCGGACCUUGCGCGAUUGAAUGAGCCGAUGUCGGAUUAGCUAGUUGGCGGGGUAAAGGCCCACCAAGGCGACGAUCCGUAGCUGGUCUGAGAGGAUGAUCAGCCACACUGGAACUGAGACACGGUCCAGACUCCUACGGGAGGCAGCAGUGGGGAAUAUUGGACAGUGGGCGCAAGCCUGAUCCAGCCAUACCGCGUGGGUGAAGAAGGCCUUCGGGUUGUAAAGCCCUUUUGUUGGGAAAGAAAAGCAGCAGGUUAAUACCCCGCUGUUCUGACGGUACCCAAAGAAUAAGCACCGGCUAACUUCGUG